rnacentral:rRNA from 1 species
AUUGAACGCUGGCGGCAGGCCUAACACAUGCAAGUCGAGCGAGCGGCGGACGGGUGAGUAAUGUCUGUGAACCUGCCUGAUGGAGGGGGAUAACUACUGGAAACGGUAGUUAAUACCGCAUACCCUCAGGUGUGCCCAGAUGGGAUUAGCUAUUAGGUGGGGUAACGGCCCACCUAGGCGACGAUCCCUAGCUGGUCUGAGAGGAUGAACAGCCACACUGGAACUGAGACACGGGCCAGACUCCUACGGGAGGCAGCAGUGGGGAAUAUUGCACAAUGGGCGCAAGCCUGAUGCAGCCAUGCCGCGUGUGUGAAGAAGGCCUUCGGGUUGUAAAGCACUUUCAGCGGGGAGGCGUUACCCGCAGAAGAAGCACCGGCUAACUCCGUGCCAGCAGCCGCGGUAAUUC